CUUUACGGCCAUAUCACGUUGAAAGCACCGGUUCUCGUCCGAUCACCGAAGUUAAGCAACGUCGAGCCUAGUUAGUACUUAGAUAGGUGACCGCUUGGGAAACCUAGGCGAUGUAAGCG
rnacentral:rRNA from 1 species